UGGGGUGUGGCUCAGUGGUAGAGCACUUUCCUCAUACGUGUAAGGCGCUGGGUUCAAUCCUCAGCACCACAU
rfam:Ictidomys tridecemlineatus contig013711, whole genome shotgun sequence.